rnacentral:rRNA from 1 species
GCUCAGAAUCAACGCUGGCGGCGUGCCUUAACUCAUGCAAGUCGAACGCGAAAGCCCCGCAAGGGGCAAGUAGAGUGGCAAACGGGUGAGUAACACGUGGGUGACCUGCCUUCGAGCGGGGGAUAACGUCCCGAAAGGGACGGCUAAUACCGCAUAACAUCCUGCCUUUGAAGAGGUGGAGAUCAAAGCUGGGGAUCGCAAGACCCGGCACUUGAAGAGGGGCCCGCGUCUGAUUAGCUAGUUGGUGGGGUAACGGCCUACCAAGGCAACGAUCAGUAUCCGGCCUGAGAGGGCGGACGGACACACUGGGACUGAGACACGGCCCAGACUCCUACGGGAGGCAGCAGUGGGGAAUUGUUCGCAAUGGGCGCAGGCCUGACGACGCAACGCCGCGUGGAGGAUGAAGAUUUUCNAAUCGUAAACUCCUGUCGAAUGGGACGAACAGAUUGCGGGUGAACAGCCCGUAGUCCUGACNAGUACCGUUAAAGGAA